rnacentral:rRNA from 1 species
GUAGAUAUCACUAGAAUACCGAAAGCGAAGGCGAUCUCCUGGAACAUAACUGACGCUAAGGCGUGAAAGCGUGGGGAGCAAACAGGAUUAGAUACCCUGGUAGUCCACGCCCUAAACGAUGAACACUAGUCGUCGGGAUGCUAGUCAUCUCGGUGAUGCACUUAACAGAUUAAGUGUUCCGCCUGGGGAGUACGGUCGCAAGAUUAAAACUCAAAGGAAUAGACGGGGACCCGCACAAGUGGUGGAGCAUGUGGUUUAAUUCGAAGAUACGCGAAGAACCUUACCUAGCCUUGACAUUGAUUGAACACACUAGAGAUAGAGUGGUGCCCUUCGGGGAACAUGAAAACAGGUGCUGCACGGCUGUCGUCAGCUCGUGUCGUGAGAUGUUGGGUUAAGUCCCGCAACGAGCGCAACCCUCGUCCUUAGUUGCUAGCAGUUCGGCUGAGCACUCUAAGGAGACUGCCUUCGUAAGGAGGAGGAAGGUGAGGACGACGUCAAGUCAUCAUGGCCCUUAUGGCUAGGGCUACACACGUGCUACAAUGGGGCGUACAGAGUGUUGCGAUACCGCGAGGUGGAGCUAAUCACUUAAAGCGUCUCUCAGUUCGGAUUGGAGUCUGCAACUCGACUCCAUGAAGCUGGAAUCACUAGUAAUCGUAGAUCAGCAAUGCUACGGUGAAUACGU